UUUAUUUUAGUUAUUACAGUUUUAAACUGGGGCGUCAAUAUGUACUUAAUAUAGUACAAAAAAUGUCAAAUUGUGAAAAAUGUGAAAAAAAAAUGCAUCGAAUAUUUAUGCCUGAAUUCGAUUAACACCUAAACCACUAUUAUGGAUAAAAUUUGCAGCGCAGCCUUAAUCGUUAAAUAGGUAUCUCCAGAGAGCUUAUAUACCAAAAAAGUGGUCAACCACAUAGUGCGCGCUGAUCGGUUGACCAGGUUAUACUAAAAGGC